CCUACGGGAGGCAGCAGUCGAGAAUCAUUCACAAUGGGGGAAACCCUGAUGGUGCGACGCCGCGUGGGGGAAUGAAGGUCUUCGGUUUGUAAACCCCUGUCAUGUGGGAGCAAAUUAAAAUGAUAGUACCACAAGAGGAAGCGACGGCGAACUCUGGGCCAGCAGCCGCGGUAAUACGGAGGUCUCAAGCGUUGUUCGGAAUCACUGGGCGUAAGGGGUGCGUAGGCUGUUUCGUAAGCUGUGUGUGAAAGGCGCGGGCUCAACCCGCGGACGGCACAUGAUACUGCGAGACUAGAGUAAUGGAGGGGGAGCCGGAAUUCUCGGUGUAGCAGUGAAAUGCGUAGAGAUCGAGAGGAACACUCAUGGCGAAGGCGAGUUCCUGGACAUUAACUGACGCUGAGGCACGAAGGCCAGGGGAGCGAAAGGGAUUAGAUACCCGAGUAGUC
rnacentral:rRNA from 1 species